rnacentral:rRNA from 1 species
UACGGAGGGAGCUAGCGUUGUUCGGAAUUACUGGGCGUAAAGCGCACGUAGGCGGAUUGUUAAGUCAGGGGUGAAAUCCUGGAGCUCAACUCCAGAACUGCCUUUGAUACUGGCGAUCUCGAGUCCGGGAGAGGUGAGUGGAACUGCGAGUGUAGAGGUGAAAUUCGUAGAUAUUCGGAAGAACACCAGUGGCGAAGGCGGCUCACUGGUCCGGUACUGACGCUGAGGUGCGAAAGCGUGGGGAGCAAACAGG